CGUAGGGUGCGAGCGUUAAUCGGAAUUACUGGGCGUAAAGCGUGCGCAGGCGGUUUUGUAAGACAGAUGUGAAAUCCCCGGGCUCAACCUGGGACCUGCAUUUGUGACUGCAAGGCUAGAGUACGGUAGAGGGGGAUGGAAUUCCGCGUGUAGCAGUGAAAUGCGUAGAUAUGCGGAGGAACACCGAUGGCGAAGGCAGCCCCCUGGGAUAACACUGACGCUCAUGCACGAAAGCGUGGGGAGCAAACAGGAUUAGAUACCCUGGUAGUCCACGCCCUAAACGAUGUCUACUAGUUGUCGGGUCUUAAUUGACUUGGUAACGCAGCUAACGCGUGAAGUAGACCGCCUGGGGAGUACGGUCGCAAGAUUUAA
rnacentral:rRNA from 1 species